rnacentral:rRNA from 1 species
AAGCGUUGUUCGGAUUUAUUGGGCGUAAAGCGCGUGUAGGCGGUCUGUUAAGUCUGAUGUGAAAGCCCCGGGCUCAACCCGGGAAGUGCAUUGGAAACUGGCAGACUUGAGUACGGGAGAGGGUAGUGGAAUUCCGAGUGCAGGGGUGAAAUCCGUAGAUAUUCGGAGGAACACCGGUGGCGAAGGCGGCUACCUGGACCGAUACUGACGCUGAGACGCGAAAGCGUGGGGAGCAAACAGGAUUAGAUACCCUGGUAGUCCACGCCGUAAACGAUGGGUACUAGGUGUUGCGGGUAUUGACCCCUGCAGUGCC